GUGUCUGUUUGCUGAGAAUGAUGAUUUUCAGAUUCAUCCAUGUCCCUGCAAAGGACACGAACUCAUACUUUUUUAUGGCUGCAUAGUAUUCUUUAAUACGAGGAACUGUUCUUACGUGCACAAAAUGCAGAUUGAAGCUUACAGAGAUGAGAAUUUCUCAACAAUGGUUCCCAGGAUGAGACUCCUGAGGAAGCUCAGGGGUUCCUGGUGAGUCUUCCCCAAUCAGAUCCAGGAUAGAAACCUCGGUGAGAUCCCCUGACUGGAACAGGCUUUAGGGAUUCUAAGCACAGUUGAUAGAGAGACUGAGCUGGAGUCAGCAUCAUAUAGAUUCCCACAGGUUUCACAUCUGACCCUUCUCCUGACAGUAAAGUGUACAAGUCAGCACCAGCACUGAUCUGGUGCUUCUUUUGCUCCCUAUGGAAUGUCUUUCCACUUACUUUUCUUCUCCCUCUUUCACGUGCUUCUCCUGCUCACUGCAAUAAGAAAGAUGGGUCUCUGUGGACUAAAUUACAGGGCUCAAGCCCUUCUCUUGGAGCUCAGGUGUGUCUCAGGCUGUGGCUCCUACAGCCACCUUGGGGAGGCUAAUGGGCCUUUCUUCUGUCGUGUUGCUCAGGACCCUCCACUGUAAUGUGUGAAGACUCAUCUGGGAAUGCAGCUGGCUAGGCAAAACUGAAAGGGAUAAGCUUGUUUGGUCAACAUGAGAUACAGAGGUGGAAUUGACCCUGUGCUGUACAAACUUUCAGAGUCACUUUAUUAAAUGAUAGUGUUAGAAACAACUUGAGAAAGUUGUCAGAAUCAAAAUUGGGUCACUUGAGUUAAAACCCUGCUGAAUGAAGCUGGGGAAGGCCAUAACAAAUGUUCUCAUGCUCAUUCCUGAUAACAAGAACUAUCAUAAAUAGACUCUGGAGAACCACAACCUUCCACAAAGGUCACCACAACCUUAAAAGAAUUACUUCUAUGAGGAAUCUGCCCAGCAACUCUCUGUUUAAGACUGGACCUAUGCCACCCUUAUUGAUUCUUCUAGUCCAGAAUAAUUGUCUCAAAAAAGUGUAUGUAACCCUCUUCAUUUUAUCUUUAAUCCUUUCUAUUCCUUUGCCUGCCUGAGUGAACCCAUAUUCCCAUUGCAAUGCCCAUCUUCAAAUAAAUUAUCAUUUUACUUUAGAGUCUCUUUUUGUCUGUUAUUCAGAUUUGACAAAGUGCAGAUGGACACAUCACUUUUCUGUGAGAUUUCGGGGAUGAUGAUUUUGGGGCAUGGCCAGGGAAGUACAAUAUCCAUAAGACUGGUCAUCAGUCAGUGCAGGCUGGAAGUCUCAGAGAGAGGUGAAGCUGCUGGAUCACUCUAGAACUUCACCUUCUCUAGUUCUGCUCUGAUGGAAUUGGGCACACCCUUGUAAUCAAUGACAAUCUACCUAACUUAGAGUCAAUUGACAGUUUUAAUUCUAAAUUUGCAACACCACCUAGAUUAGUGUUUGAAUAACUGUAAAGUAUACCCUAACCAAGUAUAUGGUAAAGCAGAUUAUGACCCAUGGAGAAUCUUUUACAUGACAUCUAAAAUUCUUACAUUUUUUUUACAUAAAACCGAUCAUUUGACAAUCAGGCUGUUAUGACCUGCUAAUGAAUUGUAGAAGUUACAUAUAUAUUUUAGGUAUUCACAGUUUUUCAGAUGCAUAGUGUGCAACUAUAUUCUCCCACUCUGUAAGUUUGAAUUUUUUUCCUUGCUUUGCAAAAUGUUUAUAUUUUGAUGUAGUUCCAGUUGCUCAGUUCUCCUUUUGUUGUCUGUGCUUUUAAUGUUAAAUCUAGGAAAUCAUUUUUAACCUUUUCGUGGGAGAGAAUUUUACAAUUGCAGGCUGUAUAUUUAACUGUUUAUCCCACUUAGAGUUGACUUUUUGUGCUUAUUCUCAACUAAAAUGUUUAAUUCUUUGCAUGUGAAAAUCCAUUUUGUCUUCAUACCCUCUUAGGGAGAGAGUAUGAUUUAGCCAUUGCAUGGAAAAUGUUGAAAAUCAGUUUACCAUCAAUAUGUGGGUUCUCAUGUGGAAA